CACGACGAGGCGCGGCGAGAGUGAUGGCAUCACCUUGUUGAGCCACUUCAUCCGGUCGAGGACGGGCGAGGCGACCUUCGAGAAGUCCUCGAACGUGCCGAUCUCGCGAGACCCGAUCUCGGUGGUGCGGUCGACGGCCCGCCGGUACAGCUCGCGCAAGACCUCGUUCGAAAUGCGGACCCGGGCGCGGUCGUAGGCGAGGUCCGCCUUCCGGUGCCGCUCGAUGAGCUUCGCUACCUCCGUCUUGGUGAGCGAGACCUUCAGCCGACCGAAGGGAAGAUCGAGCGCCGCCGGCGUCACGUGACCCCAGACGGCCUCACGGACAAACGCUCGCAUCCGGAUGUCGCCCUUGACUCGUUCGACCGGUUCUUCGGUCGUGGUGACCUUAGUGAACCGCAUCUUCUCGCUGUCCGGCAGGUCAAGGAGGGAGAGGUCCGCCAGCGUGAGGUGCGUCGCUAUUU
rnacentral:misc_RNA from 1 species